rnacentral:rRNA from 1 species
ACGCUCGACACCUACGGGAGCAGCAGUGGGGAAUAUUGCACAAUGGGGGAAACCCUGAUGCAGCGACGCCGCGUGGAGGAAGAAGGUCUUCGGAUUGUAAACUCCUGUUGUUGGGGAAAAAGAGGAUGGUACCCAACAAGGAAGUGACGGCUAACUACGUGCAAGCAGCGACGGUAAUCUGAGCGGGCUGGCAAGGC